CGCGUGAGGAACCUGCCUCAAAGAGGGGGACAACAGUUGGAAACGACUGCUAAUACCGCAUAAGCCCACAGGUCGGCAUCGACCAGAGGGAAAAGGAGCAAUCCGCUUUGAGAUGGCCUCGCGUCCGAUUAGCUAGUUGGUGAGGUAAUGGCCCACCAAGGCGACGAUCGGUAGCCGGACUGAGAGGUUGAACGGCCACAUUGGGACUGAGACACGGCCCAG
rnacentral:rRNA from 1 species